rnacentral:rRNA from 1 species
GUACACUCCUGCGGGAGGCAGCAGUGGGGAAUUUUGGACAAUGGGGGCAACCCUGAUCCAGCAAUGCCGCGUGAGUGAAGAAGGCCUUCGGGUUGUAAAGCUCUUUUGUCAGGGAAGAAACGGUGGUGGCGAAUAACUACUACUAAUGACGGUACCUGAAGAAUAAGCACCGGCUAACUACGUGCCAGCAGCCGCGGUAAUACGUAGGGUGCAAGCGUUAAUCGGAAUUACUGGGCGUAAAGCGUGCGCAGGCGGUUGUGUAAGUCAGAUGUGAAAUCCCCGGGCUCAACCUGGGAAUUGCAUUUGAGACUGCACGGCUAGAGUGUGUCAGAGGGGGGUAGAAUUCCACGUGUAGCAGUGAAAUGCGUAGAUAUGUGGAGGAAUACCGAUGGCGAAGGCAGCCCCCUGGGAUAACACUGACGCUCAUGCACGAAAGCGUGGGGAGCAAACAGGAUUAGAAACCCUUGUAGUCCCAUGAU